GGCGAACUGGUGAGUUACACGUGGGAAACCUGCCCAGAAGCGGGGGAUAACACCUGGAAACAGAUGCUAAUACCGCAUAACAACUUGGACCGCAUGGUCCGAGUUUGAAAGAUGGCUUCGGCUAUCACUUUUGGAUGGUCCCGCGGCGUAUUAGCUAGAUGGUGGGGUAACGGCUCACCAUGGCAAUGAUACGUAGCCGACCUGAGAGGGUAAUCGGCCACAUUGGGACUGAGACACGGCCCAAACUCCUACGGGAGGCAGCAGUAGGGAAUCUUCCACAAUGGACGAAAGUCUGAUGGAGCAACGCCGCGUGAGUGAAGAAGGGUUUCGGCUCGUAAAACUCUGUUGUUAAAGAAGAACAUAUCUGAGAGUAACUGUUCAGGUAUUGACGGUAUUUAACCAGAAAGCCACGGCUAACUACGUGCCAGCAGCCGCGGUAAUACGUAGGUGGCAAGCGUUGUCCGGAUUUAUUGGGCGUAAAGCGAGCGCAGGCGGUUUUUUAAGUCUGAUGUGAAAGCCUUCGGCUCAACCGAAGAAGUGCAUCGGAAACUGGGAAACUUGAGUGCAGAAGAGGACAGUGGAACUCCAUGUGUAGCGGUGAAAUGCGUAGAUAUAUGGAAGAACACCAGUGGCGAAGGCGGCUGUCUGGUCUGUAACUGACGCUGAGGCUCGAAAGUAUGGGUAGCAAACAGGAUUAGAUACCCUGGUAGUCCAUACCGUAAACGAUGAAUGCUAAGUGUUGGAGGGUUUCCGCCCUUCAGUGCUGCAGCUAACGCAUUAAGCAUUCCGCCUGGGGAGUACGGCCGCAAGGCUGAAACUCAAAGGAAUUGACGGGGGCCCGCACAAGCGGUGGAGCAUGUGGUUUAAUUCGAAGCUACGCGAAGAACCUUACCAGGUCUUGACAUACUAUGCAAAUCUAAGAGAUUAGACGUUCCCUUCGGGGACAUGGAUACAGGUGGUGCAUGGUUGUCGUCAGCUCGUGUCGUGAGAUGUUGGGUUAAGUCCCGCAACGAGCGCAACCCUUAUUAUCAGUUGCCAGCAUUAAGUUGGGCACUCUGGUGAGACUGCCGGUGACAAACCGGAGGAAGGUGGGGAUGACGUCAAAUCAUCAUGCCCCUUAUGACCUGGGCUACACACGUGCUACAAUGGAUGGUACAACGAGUUGCGAACUCGCGAGAGUAAGCUAAUCUCUUAAAGCCAUUCUCAGUUCGGAUUGUAGGCUGCAACUCGCCUACAUGAAGUCGGAAUCGCUAGUAAUCGCG
rnacentral:rRNA from 2 species